GACGAACGCUGGCGGCGUGCCUAAUACAUGCAAGUAGAACGCACAGUUUAUACCGUAGCUUGCUACACCAUACACUGUGAGUUGCGAACGGGUGAGUAACGCGUAGGUAACCUGCCUGGUAGCGGGGGAUAACUAUUGGAAACGAUAGCUAAUACCGCAUAAUAUUGAUUAUUGCAUGAUAAUUGAUUGAAAGAUGCUAUUGCAUCACUACCAGAUGGACCUGCGUUGUAUUAGCUAGUAGGUGAGGUAACGGCUCACCUAGGCGACGAUACAUAGCCGACCGGAGAGGGUGAUCGGCCACACUGGGACUGAGACACGGCCCAGACUCCUACGGGAGGCAGCAGUAGGGAAUCUUCGGCAAUGGACGAAAGUCUGACCGAGCAACGCCGCGUGAGUGAAGAAGGGUUUCGGAUCGUAAAGCUCUGUUGUAAGAGAAGAACGGGUGUGAGAGUGGAAAGUUCACACUGUGACGGUAUCUUACCAGAAAGGGACGGCUAACUACGUG
rnacentral:rRNA from 1 species